UGGAUUUUCUUCUUUGCUGUUC
rnacentral:siRNA from 1 species